rnacentral:rRNA from 1 species
GUGAGGAAUAUUGGACAAUGGGCGCAAGCCUGAUCCAGCCAUGCCGCGUGCAGGAAGACGCAUCUAUGGUGUGUAAACUGCUUUUGUACGGGAAGAAACACUCCCUCGUGAGGGAGCUUGACGGUACCGUAAGAAUAAGGAUCGGCUAACUCCGUGCCAGCAGCCGCGGUAAUACGGAGGAUCCAAGCGUUAUCCGGAAUCAUUGGGUUUAAAGGGUCCGUAGGCGGGUUAAUAAGUCAGUGGUGAAAGCCCAUCGCUCAACGAUGGAACGGCCAUUGAUAUUGUUAGACUUGAAUUACAAGGAAGUAACUAGAAUAUGUAGUGUAGCGGUGAAAUGCUUAGAUAUUACAUGGAAUACCAAUUGCGAAGGCAGGUUACUACUUGUGGAUUGACGCUGAUGGACGAAAGCGUGGGGAGCAAACAGGAUUAGAUACCCCUGUAGUCC